ensembl:lncRNA
AUGAACUGGCUCGUUAGCUGGUCCUGUGGUGGACUUUUAUGCACAAAAUACAAAACAACCCCCCCACGUGCCACUUCAGAGGGGCAGCCGGCCUUCAUGGAGUGUGCAAGGACCACAUCUAGCCAGAGCAGAUCAAUGUGUGAGUGGUCUGCCCUGCGAUGGACUGGCGACCUGUCUAGGGUGUAUCCUGCCUUCCGCCCAAUGACCGCUGGCAUAGGCUCCAGCCACCCCCUGCGACCCUGAGGGAGAAGCGGC